ACCCAUCAUCGUCGUCUCUAAUCCCAAACCCUCUCUCCUCUUCCUCAGCUCCCUUCCCGGGUCGCCUCCAAUGGCGUCCUCCCUCCUCCGCGCCUCGCCGCUCUCCCUCCUCUCCCGCCUGAGGCCGCUCAGCCGCAGGCCUCCCGCCUCGCACCUCCGCUGCCUCCUCCUGCUCUCCGGCUCCGCCUCGGCCCCCUCACGCUCCACGCCCACGCCCCGAACCCUAGCGGCCGCCACCGAUGCGGCGACCCCGCCGGAGGAGGCGGCGGCGCCCCCCGCGGCCGAGGCGAGGCUGGAGAGGAUGCAGCCUCUGCAGUGGCCCCAGCGGGACGCGCUCUGCGGCGAGCUCGGGGCGGGCGACGCGGGGCGCCGGGUCCGGCUCUGCGGCUGGGUCGCCCUCCGCCGCUCCCACGCCGGCCUCACCUUCCUCACCCUCCGCGACUCCUCCGGCAUGGUCCAGGUGACGACUCUGCCAGAAUACCCUGAAGUUUACGCUGUUGUGAACAAGCUGAGAGUGGAAUCAGUGGUUUCUGUUGAGGGGGUGGUGCGCCCGCGCCCAACAGAAUCCAUCAAUGCAGAUAUGAGGACUGGGGCUAUAGAGGUUGCUGCAGAUCAUGUAUCAGUGCUCAACUCGGUAACUCGUUCCCUACCUUUUCCAAUCACCACUGCUGAUACAGUGAAAGAAAAAUUUCCGGAAGAAGUCAGAUUGAGAUUUAGGGUGCUGGACUUGCGUCGACCACAAAUGCAGUCAAACUUGAGAUUACGUCAUAAAGUUAUUAAACACAUUCGUCGUUACUUGGAGGAUAGGCAUGAUUUUGUUGAGAUUGAGACUCCAAUUUUAUCCAAGUCUACACCAGAAGGCGCUCGGGACUAUCUUGUACCUUCAAGAGUUCAGCCAGGAACAUGCUUCGCUCUUCCUCAAAGCCCUCAGCUGUUCAAGCAAAUGUUGAUGGCCUCUGGCUUCGAAAAAUAUUUUCAGAUUGCAAGAUGCUUCCGGGAUGAAGAUCUGCGUGCAGACAGGCAACCAGAAUUUACACAACUUGACAUGGAGAUUGCCUUUACAUCAAUGGAGGAUAUGUUGAGCUUGAAUGAAGAAUUGAUGAUACAUAUAUUUAAAGAGGUAGGAGAUAUCAAGCUGCCUAAGUGUUUUCCAAGGCUCACCUACAACGAGGCGAUGAACCGUUAUGGGACAGACAGGCCUGACCUUCGGUUCGAUUGGGAGCUAAAAGAUGCUAGUGAUGUAUUUUUGGGCAGUAGCUUCAAGGUUUUUGCAGAUACAUUAGAAAAUGGUGGUGUAAUAAAGGCAUUAUGUGUGCCUGGUGGUGCCAAAGUUUUUUCAAACACCGACCUAAAGAAGGGAACUGUUUAUGCUGAGGCUUCCAAAGCUGGAGCUAAGGGCCUGCCUUUCCUCAAAGUUAUGGACAAUGGGGAGCUUGAAGGAGUUGGUCCGUUGGUGUCAAGUCUAAAACCCGAAAAGAAAGAACACCUGUUGGAACUUUUAGAUGCAAAAGCAGGUGAUCUUAUCCUGUUUGCCUUGGGCGAGCAGUCAACAGCUAAUCAAAUUCUUGGCAGGUUAAGAUUGUUUAUUGCUCAUAAGCUGGACGUGAUAGAUACAUCAGCACAUUCAAUUCUUUGGGUGACAGAUUUUCCAAUGUUUGAAUGGAAUAGUGACGAGCAGCGAUAUGAGGCUCUACACCAUCCUUUCACUGCACCAAAUCCUGAAGAUAUGAAUGAUCUACCAUCAGCUCGUGCCUUGGCUUAUGAUAUGAUUUACAAUGGGGUGGAGGUACUCCUUGUUUCUCUUUUGAAAUCGGAGGAGGCAGUUUGAGGAUCUACAAAAGUGAUGUGCAACAAAGGAUUUUUGAGAUCAUCGGUAUCUCACCUGAACAGGCAGAGGAAAAAUUUGGCUACCUUUUGGAGUGUUUUGACAUGGGUGCUCCCCCACAUGGGGGCAUUGCCUAUGGGUUGGAUCGUUUGGUGAUGCUUUUGGCCCGCGAAAGUUCAAUCCGGGAUGUGAUAGCUUUCCCAAAGACCACGACUGCUCAAUGUUCGCUCACCAAAGCACCGUCCCCUGUGGAACCUCAGCAAUUGAAGGAUCUGGGCCUGCGUACUUCGUGAGGACGCCGUGCAUGGAUAAGGGGUGCAUUAUUUAGGAACAGAUACAUUAUACACAUGGGACUCAAACUGCCCCUGCACAUUCUCUUUUUGCACUGUAGAGGAGAAAUUUUUUGACUGUAAAAUGACUGGUCGGCGUUCAGACGUCGCCAAAUCUUCCAGCAUGGACGCAAUGCGGAUUAUUUAUUUUCUUCAAAGUUGUGGCUGCCAACGUGCAACCGUAUUACUAUUGACUUGAAUGAACUAGGCGGCCUGGCUUUUGUAACACCACAUUGGAAGUAUUUGUGUGUAUACCAGGUUGAAUUCCUGGCUGCCAGCAUUGGAAGUAUUGGAGUAGCUUUGUUUGUUGCA